UGGCGAGUGCGGCUAGUAGCCACUGUGUUGUCUCCUCAGGUCUGGUCCCAUUUGCCCUACGACAGGGAGGCCACCCGGGCCCGGCCAGCCAAAGCAAUGCUGGACCUGGAGGUGGUGCCUGAACGCUCUCUGGGGAACGAGCAAUGGGCAUUUCACGCUGGUCUCCUCUAAGCCAUGCCCUCAUCCUUAACCUGACUCAGGAUGGGAUCAAACUGCUGUUUGAUGCUUUCAAUCAGAGACUUAAGGUGACUGAAGUAUAUGACUUGACUAAAGUAAAGUUAAAAUAUUGUGGAGUGCACUUCAACUCUCAGGCCAUAGCUCCUACCACUGAACAGAUUGACCAGUCUUCUGGCACAAUUCAUCCUGGAGUGUACAACUCUGCCGAGCAGCUAUUUCACCUCAACUUCAGAGGACUGUCUUUCUCCUUUCAGUUAGACUCAUGGACUGAAGCUCCCAAGUAUGAGCCCAAUUUUGCGCAUGGUCUAGCUUCUCUCCAGAUACCCCAUGGAGCAACUGUAAAACGAAUGUACAUCUAUAGCGGAAACAGCCUACAAGAUACCAAGGCUCCCAUGAUGCCACUGAGCUGUUUCAUGGGCAAAGUGUAUGCUGAGAGUGUAGAUGUUCUUCGUGAUGGAACUGGACCCUCAGGUUUAUGACUUCGCCUACUUGCUGCAGGUUGCGGACCUGGCCUAUUAGCAGAUGCCAAGAUGCGGGUAUUUGAACGUUCUGUAUAUUUUGGAGAUUCCUGCCAAGAUGUUCUUAGCAUACCUGGCUCUCCACAUAAGGUCUUCUAUAAGUCAGAAGACAAGAUGAAAAUUCAUUCUCCUUCCCCUCAUAAACAAGUUCCUUCCAAGUACAAUGACUACUUUUUUAAUUACUUCACUCUUGGAGUGGAUAUCCUUUUUGAUGCAAAUACACACAAAGUGAAGAAGUUUGUUCUACAUACCAAUUAUCCUGGGCAUUAUAAUUUUAACAUUUAUCACCGCUGUGAGUUCAAGAUCCCACUAACCAUAAAGAAAGAAAAUGAAGAUGGUCAGACAGAAACAUGUACAACUUAUAGCAAGUGGGACAAUAUCCAUGAGCUCUUGGGCCAUCCUGUGGAGAAGCCUGUUAUUCUGCACAGGUCCUCAUCCCCAAACAACACUAACCCAUUUGGCUCCACAUUCUGUUUUGGUCUUCAGCAGAUGAUCUUUGAGAUCAUGCAGAACAACCACAUUGCCUCUGUAACCCUGUAUGCCCCACCCCAGGCAUGGUGCCCAGCUGAGAACAGCAGAGCUCCCCUAGGGACAUCACCACCUGUGCUCCUCUGCCCAUGGAACUGUGGGUGACAUCCUGCUCAGUGGGUCUGUGUGCCACCCUGUGGGUUUGCUUGGACAUCUUGUCAGUAUUGAAGGGCUUUUGGAAUGUUCAGAGGUAGGCUCAGGCUGGGCGCUCUGCUGUGGGACAAGGGGCCCAGGUAUUCCUCUGUCGGUCCUAAGCCUGCUGCUGCCAGCAGGGAACACAGACUGCAAAGAGAAGCACAAACUUUGAGCCUUGAUACCUAGACCCAGGAGAUCUGGACUAACACAGAAGAAGGCAGGACAUGUCAACCCUUGUCCUACACACAUUGGGAAAACUUGGGGCCCUUUCUGUGGCUAAUACAGGAAUCCAGGAUAAGGACAGAGUCCUGCCUUUGGCUGCACAUUGCCACGUGACCGUUGAGGCAAACAGGUAGUGUGUUCAUAGUACUCGGUUGCAACAUUUGCACUACAUCUACUUUAGUUACUUGAGCUGGCUAUGGUGAAAGUGGCCCACCUGCCCCUCCCUGUCCCCUUUGUGCGUGCUCCCUGCCAGGCCCAAGACACACCCACCUGGUGAAGCACAGCUUUCUACCAUCCAGGUAUGUGCCCAGGCCUGGUUUCCACUGCUCUGGAGCCAGCUUUCAAGGUUGCCUUGCUGGUAGGGCUUUAUGUUUCCAUUCUGUUUGUAGCUUUAUUUAAUGCCAAAGUUUUAGCCAAAGACAUCUUUCUUUGUUGUAUUUCAGCAUUUUGUUCUGCACUGUGGGUCAGCUCCCUACCCUAGCCCUAGCCACUGCCCCCUGGCUAGACCUUUCAUGGCUCAUGGGCUCUGGGGGUUCAAGGAACGCUGGGCUGCUUGAUCUCUUCAUAGGUUUUGCUAAUGGAAAGUAGCAUAAAUGUGCUUUAAAAUAUUAAUCCUUUUGAAAAGAAAUGAGAAGAGAA